UAAGAAUUUUCGAUUGUCUUUUAAUUGAUUAUUGAGUGUUAACAAAUGCAUAUUGGUAUAUAAAGUACCCAAAAUUUCACAUCAGACAUCAUCAGUUAAAUACCUGCUGAAACGCUUAAAUUUAUCAUGAAAUUCACCAACGUUUUCGUUAUUGCCGCUGCAAUGAUUUUCGCCAUUAGCUCGGCUGAAGCUAGGCCCGAACCAAAACCCGAACCAUUGCCCGAGCCUAUCUUGAAUGUUGUUACUGGUUUAUUGAGCAAUAUUUUGGGUGGUAGAUAAGGGGCAUAUAUAGCUGGACAUUGAUGGCUGAUGAUAAAAAAAAUGUAAUAAAUAUUAACAUUAAAUAAAAAAACGGCAAAUUGAUUUUUA